CUUGAUGGAACCCAGCAGCAACGGCCGCUCGGCACUCCGCUCCUGACCGUAAGUGGCCAUAAGCGCCUGCGCCUC
rfam:Streptomyces autolyticus strain CGMCC0516, complete genome.